AGCGAACGCUGGCGGCAGGCCUAAUACAUGCAAGUCGAGCGGGUGUAGCAAUACACCAGCGGCAGACGGGAGAGUAACACGUGGGAACGUGCCCUUCAGUUCGGAACAACCCAGGGAAACUUGGGCUAAUACCGGAUACGUCCGUAAGGAGAAAGAUUUAUCGCUGAAGGAUCGGCCCGCGUCUGAUUAGCUUGUUGGUGAGGUAACGGCUCACCAAGGCGACGAUCAGUAGCUGGUCUGAGAGGAUGAUCAGCCUCACUGGGACUGAGACACGGCCCAGACUCCUACGGGAGGCAGCAGUAGGGAAUAUUGGACAAUGGGCGCAAGCCUGAUCCAGCCAUGCCGCGUGGGUGAUGAAGGCCCUAGGGUUGUAAAGCCCUUUCGGCGGGGAAGAUAAUGACGGUACCCGCAGAAGAAGCCCCGGCUAACUUCGUGCCAGCCGCCGCAGUAAGAC
rnacentral:rRNA from 1 species